GCCUUCGUAGUGUAGUGGUCAGCACGCUGGGCGCGUAUUCCAGAUGUCCGUGGUUCGAGUCCCGGCGAAAGCG
rnacentral:tRNA from 1 species